AUUGAACGCUGGCGGCAUGCCUUACACAUGCAAGUCGAACGGCAGCACGGGAGCAAUCCUGGUGGCGAGUGGCGAACGGGUGAGUAAUAUAUCGGAACGUGCCCAGUAGUGGGGGAUAACUGCUCGAAAGAGCAGCUAAUACCGCAUACGACCUGAGGGUGAAAGGGGGGAUCGCAAGACCUCUCGCUAUUGGAGCGGCCGAUAUCAGAUUAGCUAGUUGGUGGGGUAAAGGCCUACCAAGGCGACGAUCCGUAGCUGGUCUGAGAGGACGAUCAGCCACACUGGGACUGAGACACGGCCCAGACUCCUACGGGAGGCAGCAGUGGGGAAUAUUGGACAAUGGGGGAAACCCUGAUCCAGCAAUGCCGCGUGUGUGAAGAAGGCCUGCGGGUUGUAAAGCACUUUUGGCAGGGAUGAAAAGCACUGGCCUAACAAUCCAGUGUGUUGACCUAACCUGCAGAAGAAGCACCGGCUAACU
rnacentral:rRNA from 1 species